rnacentral:lncRNA from 1 species
CUCUCCUUUCCUCCUCCCUUCCUUUCUUUUUCCUCUCUUUCUUUCUUCCUCUCCCUCAUCAACCCUCCAACGAAACCAAUAGCCCUCCAACGGCCUCUGAAGGCUCUCUCUUCCUCUCCCUUUCCUUUUCUUCUUCACUCCCUCCCUCUCUUUUCCUCUCUUUCCAUCUCUCUCUAUUCUGCUAUGUCGGUUUGAGCCUGGUACAAAAUAGUUAGUAGGCAUACUAAAUGGUGCUACCAGUCUAUCAAUCUUGGAUCCCAAUAUCGGCAUAGUGAACCUUGAGUUCAACUAUUUUAGUACACUAGGAGCAAGACCAUAAUG